GACGAACGCUGGCGGCGUGCUUAACACAUGCAAGUCGAACGGAAAGGCCCUGCUUUUGUGGGGUGCUCGAGUGGCGAACGGGUGAGUAACACGUGAGUAACCUGCCCUUGACUUUGGGAUAACUUCAGGAAACUGGGGCUAAUACCGGAUAGGAGCUCCUGCUGCAUGGUGGGGGUUGGAAAGUUUCGGCGGUUGGGGAUGGACUCGCGGCUUAUCAGCUUGUUGGUGGGGUAGUGGCUUACCAAGGCCUUGACGGGUAGCCGGCCUGAGAGGGUGACCGGCCACAUUGGGACUGAGAUACGGACCAGACUCCUACGGGAGGCAGCAGUGGGAAAUAUUGCACAAUGGGCGGAAGCCUGAUGCAGCAACGCCGCGUGCGGGAUGACGGCCUUCGGGUUGUAAACCGCUUUCGCCUGUGACGAAGCGUGAGUGACGGUAAUGAGUAAAGAAGCACCGGCUAACUACGUG
rnacentral:rRNA from 1 species